rnacentral:rRNA from 1 species
UGAGGAAUAUUGGUCAAUGGGCGCAAGCCCGAACCAGCCAUCCCGCGUGCAGGAAGACGGCCCUAUGGGUUGUAAACUGCUUUUCCAGGGGGAGAAUUUUUCUGUCGUGACAGGAAUUGACGGUACCCUGGGAGUAAGCAUCGGCUAACUCCGUGCCAGCAGCCGCGGUAAUACGGAGGAUGCGAGCGUCAUUCGGAUUUAUUGGGUUUAAAGGGUGCGUAGGCGGAUUGAUAAGUCAGUGGUGAAAACCUGCAGCUUAACAGUAGGCUUGCCGUUGAUACUGUCAGUCUUGAGUAUGGUCAAGGUAGGCGGAAUGUGUAAUGUAGCGGUGAAAUGCUUAGAUAUUACACAGAACACCGAUUGCGAAGGCAGCUUACUGGGCCAUUACUGACGCUGAUGCACGAAAGCGUGGGGAUCGAACA